GGGUGUGGAUCCUUCUUGGGCAUCCCACCUACUAUUAUGAGGUGUCACACCAUCACAUCUCAUUUCUCGAUUGAUUGAGUUGCGAAGUCAAUUGGAUUGGAGUUCAUCCUACUUUUCUACGGUAUCUGAUGUGCAUGCGAAGUCGAGGGUCUGUAUAUUCAGACCUCCACGAAGAUUUAUAUCAGAUAAUUUAAGAUUUGAUC
rnacentral:lncRNA from 1 species